AACGAACGCUGGCGGCAGGCCUAACACAUGCAAGUCGAGCGAAGCCUUCGGGCUUAGCGGCGGACGGGUGAGUAACGCGCGGGAACGUGCCCUCUGCUACGGAAUAGCCCCGGGAAACUGGGAGUAAUACCGUAUGUGCCCUUCGGGGGAAAGAUUUAGCGGCAAAGGAUCGGCCCGCGUUGGAUUAGGUAGUUGGUGGGGUAAUGGCCUACCAAGCCGACGAUCCAUAGCUGGUUUGAGAGGAUGAUCAGCCACACUGGGACUGAGACACGGCCCAGACUCCUGCGGGAGGCAGCAGUGGGGAAUCUUAGACAAUGGGGGAAGCCCUGAUCUAGCCAUGCCGCGUGAUCGAUGAAGGCCUUAGGGUUGUAAAGAUCUUUCAGUGGGGAAGAUAAUGACUGUACCCACAGAAGAAGCCCCGGCUAACUCCGUGCCAGCCGCCGCCGUAAAAC
rnacentral:rRNA from 1 species